GUAUAUACCUGUCGCCGGGUUCAAGGUGAUCAAGAAUACUCUGACCCCGAGUAGAGGCUCACCAUUGCACCUCGGUGGUUUUAAACUCGCGACGGACCCUAAUCAGGUAAAAUCUGGCAUGUAGUUUUGUCAGAGGGGAGGCCUCACAAUCUUCCCUC
rnacentral:snRNA from 15 species